CUAAGUACUGGUGCCGCGGGAGUUGAGGUUUAAUCCCCCAGCGGUUCCGGUGCUUACUA
rnacentral:pre_miRNA from 1 species